AGAGGAGAGAGUGGCAGGGGGGUGAAAGAUAAAGUAUAUAUUUUCUAUUGGCUACGAACACUCUAUGCUUUUCUGUAACCUUGAUGGCCAGAAGAAGAAAUUCCUCCACCCUCCCCCCUUGCUCGUGGGAGAUACCGUUACUUCUUAUUCUUUGUAACUGCUUG